GAGCUCCUACGGGAGGCAGCAGUGGGGAAUAUUGGGCAAUGGACGCAAGUCUGACCCAGCAACGCCGCGUGAAGGAAGAAGGCUUUCGGGUUGUAAACUUCUUUUAAGGGGGAAGAGUAGAAGACGGUACCCCUUGAAUAAGCCACGGCUAACUACGUGCCAGCAGCCGCGGUAAUACGUAGGUGGCAAGCGUUGUCCGGAUUUACUGGGUGUAAAGGGCGUGCAGCCAGAGAGACAAGUCAGAUGUGAAAUCCGCGGGCUCAACCCGCGAACUGCAUUUGAAACUGUUUCCCUUGAGUAUCGGG
rnacentral:rRNA from 1 species